UGGCCCUUGAGCCAACACAGCAGUCCAAAGAAGCUACUCUCACCAUGCUUGAGAAGACACCACACAGAUUCUGAGGGUGAUGCCUGGGAAUCCCACAUGCUCCACCCCCAUCUGAUCAAGUCUUCCAGCCCAGGAACCAAGUAGGGAGUGGAGAAGCUCUACCACAACCAGCCCAGCCACCAGGUGACAGCGAACCCAGGAGACACUGGUGGGCAGGAAGUGCAGAGCUGCUCCCAACUCCUGACCCAUGGAAGCUGAGGGAGACCUUCAGUAAGGACAGUGGUGUAAGCAGCUAAGUUCCUUGGGUUCUGAUGUAUAAAUGAACAUUUCACAUAAACUAGAUGAAAGAAUCACUCAACCAAUUUAAUGCUGUGCUCGGUUCUUUAAGAGAAGAAGAGAAUGCUGGCAUGGACCUUUUUCUUCAUAGAAGGAUAACGGGAUCAAUAAAGCCGGCUUUGAGAGAGGAAGGAACUGAUCUUCAUGCUGGUAUCAAAUGACGCAUCCGUGCAGCACGGAGAAGGACCAUGCCCACUAAGUGACCUAAUUGCACAUUCUCAAAACACUGUAUUCCUGUUAUUGGCUUCAUCAGCAUUGUCCUCCUAGAGGUUGCUCUUAAUUAGCCCAGGAGAGGACUGAAGGAAAGAACUGUGACUGCCACCUUCAGCACAGAGGGUCUGGCCAGGAAGAGGCAGGGACCCAUGAUGGUCGUCACUCACCCAACGCUUUAUCUGCACCAGCAGAGUCCCCGGUGUUGAAUCUCCCCUUCCACCCUGCAGCAACAUCUCAAAGAUGGGCUGCUUAUUCCUUUCUACAGAUGAAGAAGAGGGAGGUGUGGUGAGGUUGGGAAGCUCAUCCUCAUUUCACAGCUAGGGAUUUCGGAAGAGAAUUUCCUACACAGAUCUGACUGAUCUCCCCUAAAAUGAGGGACCGCUACGACUCCCCAUCAUGCCAAGCUACCAGCUAUCCAUCAGCAAAAUAAGGGAGAAGGUAUACUGAGUCCGUUGAACCUCACCUCUCAGUUUGCAUCCUCAGAAAUAAGUCCAGAGAGGGAGAAUGACUUGCCAAAGUCACACAGCAGAGCCAGGACGAAGUCCCUUGGUUUGGGACAAAUACUCUCAAGCCAUUGGCAAACACACAACACACUUCUGCUCUUCUCCAGUCCUCCUCUGGACACCAGCAAUAAAUAAAAUAGUGCUGGCCAGAGAUAUGGGGAGACAAAAGGUUGUUCUAAUAGAAGGGGAUAUUAUGGGUUAUCUAGAUUAUUUUUCCUAACCAACCAGCAGACUUUUAUUAAGUGCCUAAUUUCUGCAAAACUGAGCUGAGGUGAUGAGAGAGUCUCAGCAAUGAAAAACAAGCAUACCAAAGGGGCAUGUGUUUCUUUUCUUACUCUUCAGUUGCAAUCUCAAAGGCAAGUUUGAGCUUAUAAGCAAAAUGAGGCAAAUAAGAUUUUUUAAGAUGACAAAAGCUGCAAUUGCAUGUGAUACACACAGCUAAUGAAGGCCUCAAAGUGCUUCCUUCCUGAUUUACCUUGAUCACCCAACAUAGUUUUCCAGUAUUGAAGUAAUCAGGUUUUUUGAAUUCACUAGUUGAAAAAGUAAAUGAAAA